AGGACGCCUCAGGACAUGGCCAUGGUACGUGUCAGUACAUCGCUAGACAUGGCAGGAUAUUGUGUCAGGACGUUUCAGGACGUUUCAGGACGUCGCAGGACAUGGCCAUCGCACAACAUCGCACCAUGUUGCACCACGUCUAUUGCUUACCAAUGUUUUGAAACAUGUCAAGCGCAAUGACGUUUGUUGUCGUUUGCGUCGGUGGUGGAAAGUCAGGGUGGUUCGAGCGAUAGCAUCGGGCGACGGCCGGUCGACGCUUUGUGGUUGGCGGCGGUUUCUUCAAAUCCUAGUCACUUGUUGUGGUUGGACAACACGUCAAGCGCAAUGAUGUUGGUGGUCGUUGGUGGCGGUGGUGUAAAGUCGCGUUGGCUCGAGCGGUAUCCACCGGCGACGAUUGGUCAACGCUUUGUGGUUGGCGGCAAUUUUUUUAAAUUGGAAUCACUUGUUGUGGUUGCGACAAUGGAGGUGCGUCGUUCUAAUUGGUGGUUGGUCAUCUAGGACGGUUGGUCGACGCUUUGUGGUUGGCAGCAGUUUUUUCAAAUCGGAAUCACUUGUUGUGGUUGCGACAAUGGAGGUGCAUCGUGCUUAUUGUUGGUUGGUCAUCUAUACGCUUUAAUAAUAAUAUUAUGUAUUUUUCCUAUUUUUAAUAUAUGUUUUAGUAAUAUUUAUGCAUCUUUUGUUAUUUUAAAUUAUUUUUAUGUCACUUUUUAAUAAAAAUAUUUACUCUUUUAUAUGUUAUACUAUUAUUAAUUGCAUUGGGAUUUUUCUCCAUCAUUUUUUCUAUUUUUAUAAUAAUUUUCAUAUUUUUUAGUUUUUUAUUAAGUAUUUUUCGUUUUUAAAUAAAAAUAUUUCAAAAAAAAUAUUAUUUUUUUGUAAAAAAUAUCAUUUACAAUAUAUUAGCCAAGUUGUACUUCGGUUUGUGCUAUUUGGUGUUGUACAUGUCUAUUAUGAUUCUCUGGACAAAACAUGUCUACUCCUGAAAUUUGGGUUUUUUUUUUUGUACAUGUCUAUUAUGAUUCUCUGGACAAAACAUGUCUACUCCUGAAACUUGGGUUUUUUAUUAAGCAUAUAUAAGGGGGGUAGAGGUGUUGAAAGGCACCUCAGGUGCUUGCUACCAGGAAGGGGCGGGCAUGCAUGAGGGACGCUGGCAUGGGGCGUGGGCCUUGGGGACAUGCAUGGCUUGUCCGUGCUACUUCCUCGAUGUUCCUAAACCGUGAUGACAAGUACUCGUGUGGGCUAGUAAUAAGCCUGGUGGUGGCACCGCUCGUGGCAAACAUUGGCUUUUUGCAAUGAACGGUAGAGCGUCAUGCAAGUAGCGCUGCAAGGUGCCGUGCGCAUGGGGCGAAGCUUAGUACUUGUUGAUUGCCAUUGGAUGUUGCGGGCAAAAUUGGGAGGCGACAUCGCUCGUGGCGACUGAUGGCUUUUGAUAACAGAAUGGCAAAGCGUCGUGCAAGAAGCGCCGCAAGGUGUUGUGCGCAUGGGUCGAAGCUUAGUAAGUUGUUGAUUGCCACCGGUUGUUGCGGGUUGUGUCUGGAAUCUCUCGUGGCGGCUGAUGGCUUUCGACAAAGAACGGCAGAGCCUCGUGCAAGUAGCGCCGCAAGGUGCCGUGCGCAUGGGGCGAGGCUCACUAGGUGUCGAUUGCCAUCGGUUGUUGCGGGCAAUAUCGCUCGUGGCGGUUGAUGGCUUUCGGCAAUGGAACGGCAAAGCAUUGUGCAAGUAGUGCCGCAAGGUGCCGUGCGCAUGGGGCGAAGCUUAGUAAGUUGCCUAUUGCCAUCGAUUGUUGUGGGUUGUGUCUCCGUGGCGGCAUAUGGCUUUUGACAAUGAACGGCGGAGCAUCGUGCAAGUAGCGCCACAAGGUGCCAUGCGCACGGGGCGAAGCUCAGUAGAUGUUCAUUGCCAUCGAUUGUUGCGGGAAACAUCGGGAGGCGAAAUCGCUCGUGGCAGCUGAUGGCUUUUGGCAACAAAAUGGAAAAGCAUCGUGCAAGUAGCGUCGCAAGGUGCCGUGCGCACGAGGCGAAGCUUAGUAAGUUGCUGAUUGCCAUCGGUUGUUGCGGGCAACAUCGGAAGGCGACAUCGCUCGUGGCGGCUAAUGGCUUUUGGAAACAAAAUGGCAAAGCAUCGUGCAAGUAUAAGGCCUACGCAAUAAGUUGCUGAUUGCCAUCGGUUGUUGCGGGAAACAUCGGGAGGCGACAUCGCUCAUGGCGGCCGAUGGCUUUUGGCAACAAAAUGGCAAAGCAUCGUGCAAGUAGGUCCGCAAGGUGCCGUGCGCACGAGGCGAAGCUUAGUAAGUUGCCGAUUGCCAUCAGUUGAAGCGAGCAACAUCGGGAGGCGAUAUCGCUCGUGGCGGCUGAUGGCUUUUGGCAACAAAAUGGCAGAGCAUCGUGCAAGUAGUGCCGCAAGGUUCUGUGCGCACGAGGCGAAGCUUAGUAAGUUGCCGAUUGCCAUCGUUUGUUCUGGGUUGUGUCGGGCAUAGUUCUAACCCCCUAUUCGUGCUUUGCGGGGCUUGUCUUGGGUUUGCAAUGUUGGCAUCGGCAACAACACAUGGCUGCGCGUCGCGUGUUGGGGCUGGUGUUGGCUUUGUAUCGGCGAGGCAAGUGUACGUUGGCAACAAAAUGGCAGAGCAUCGUGCAAGUAGUGCCGCAAGGUUCUGUGCGCACGAGGCGAAGCUUAGUAAGUUGCCGAUUGCCAUCGUUUGUUCUGGGUUGUGUCGGGCAUAGUUCUAACCCCCUAUUCGUGCUUUGCGGGGCUUGUCUUGGGUUUGCAAUGUUGGCAUCGGCAACAACACAUGGCGGCACGUCAUGUGUUGGGGCUGGUGUUGGCUUUGUAUCGGCGAGGCAAGUGUACGUGCGGUACAUGAGUGGUGUUCCGCUUGUGUGGCUAGGUUGGAUCCCUGCUCGAGGAGCAACGUCCUAGCUCACAUGCCAUCUCAGUCACGUCACAAGUGCAAACUAGGCUUGUUCGACGUCGGUUUUCUGUGUUGCAUACCUAAUGCCAAGGCAUUAUCAAGCACAANNNNNNNNNNNNNNNNNNNNNNNNNNNNNNNNNNNNNNNNNNNNNNNNNNNNNNNNNNNNNNNNNNNNNNNNNNNNNNNNNNNNNNNNNNNNNNNNNNNNNNNNNNNNNNNNNNNNNNNNNNNNNNNNNNNNNNNNNNNNNNNNNNNNNNNNNNNNNNNNNNNNNNNNNNNNNNNNNNNNNNNNNNNNNNNNNNNNNNNNNNNNNNNNNNNNNNNNNNNNNNNNNNNNUGUUCGACGUGCGGGGUGAACCAAAAGCUGCAGUUGUGUCCCAGGUCGUCCUAGCUUCGCUUUGCGGUGGCUUGGUCCACGACUUAGCAUGCUCGGGCUCUCGGAUUCGGUAAACGCAAUGGGCAUGGGGCCUUCAUUGGCUUCUAUCUACCCAAAGAAUGCUCCUUACAAAUGACGGUCAUGCUCGGCUUCGACUUGGCCGUGCCCUUUUGGGUCGGCCACGCUCAUGCGACGCCGGCGUCAAUGAGGAAUGCUACCUGGUUGAUCCUGACAGUAGUCAUAUGCUUGUCUCAAAUAUUAAGCAAUGCAUGUGUAAGUAUGAACAAAUUCAAACUUUGAAACUGCGAAUGGCUCAUUAAAUCAGUUAUAGUUUGGUUGAUGGUAUCUACUACUCGGAUAACCGUAGUAAUUCUAGAGCAAAUACGUGCAACAAACCCCGACUUCUGGAAGGGAUGCAUUUAUUAGAUAAAAGGUCGACACAGGCUCUGCACGUUGCUACUAUGAUUCAUGAUAACUCGACGGAUCGCACGGCCAUCGUGUCUACGACGCAUCAUUCAAAUAUUUGCCCUAUCAACUUUCGAUGGUAGGAUGACACGGACUCUGCCCGUUGCUGCGAUGAUUCAUGAUAACUCGACGGAUCGCACAGCCAUCGUGCUGGCGACGCAUCAUUCAAAUUUCUACCCUAUCAACUUUCGAUGGUAGGAUAGUGGCCUACAAUGGUGGUGACGGGUGACGGAGAAUUGGGGUUCGAUUCUUGAGAGGGAGCCUGAGAAACGGCUACCACAUCCAAGGAAGGCAGCAGGCGCGCAAAUUACCCAUUCCUGACACGGGAAGGUAGUGACAAUAAAUAACAAUACCGGGCUUUAUGAGUCUGGUAAUUGUAAUGAGCACAAUCUAAAUCCCUUAACGAGGAACCAUUGGAGGGCAUGUCCGGUGCCAGCAGCCACGGUAAUUCUAGCUCCAAUAGCGUAUAUUGAAGUUGUUGCAGUUAAGAAGCUCGUAGUUGGACUUUGGGAUGGGCCGGCCGGUCAGCCUUUGGUGUGCACCGGUCAUCUCGUCCCUUCUGCCGGCGAUGCGCUCCUGGCCGUAAUUGGCCGGGUCGUGCCUCCGGCGCUGCAUCAAAUACUGUCCUAGUCUCAACCAUAAACGAUGUCGACGAGGGAAGAUGUUGCUUUUAGGACUCCGCCGGCACCUUAUGAGAAUUGAAUUGUUUUUGGGUUCCGGGGGGAGUAUGGUCGCAAGGCUGAAACUUAAAGGAAUUGACGGAGGGGCACCACCAGGAGUGGAGCCUGAGGCUUAAUUUGACUCAACAUGGGGAAACUUACAAGGUCCAGACAUAGUAAGGAUUGACAGACUGAGAGCUCUUUCUUGAUUCUAUGGGUGGUGGUGCAUGGCCGUUCUUAGUUGGUGGAGCGAUUUGUCUGGUUAAUUCCGUUAACGACCGAGACCUCAGCCUGCUAACUAGCUAUGCGGAGGCAUCUCUUCGUGGCCAGCUUCUUAGACGGACUACGGCCUUUUUGCCGCGAAGUUUGAGGCAAUAUAGGACUGUGAUGCCCUUAGAUGUUUUGGGCCGAACGCGCGCUACGCUGAUGUAUUUAACGAGUUUAUAGCCUUGGCCGACAGGCUCGGGUAAUCAUCCAAAUUUCAUCAUCAUGGGGAUAGAUCAUUGCAAUUGUUGGUCUUCAAUGAGGAAUUCCUAGUAAGCGCGAGUCAUCAGCUCGCGUUGACUACAUUCCUGCCCUUUGUACACACCGCCCGUC
rnacentral:lncRNA from 1 species